rnacentral:lncRNA from 1 species
GAUGAAGAUUGAGAGAGGGGGCCGGCCACCGAUCCUUACCGUGGAUUCACGGUGCGCACAGGCAGUGACAUCACAACCUAGCUUGUAUACUACAACAACUCACUAACCGGAAUCGAGGGUUCUUCAGUUCUACCCAUGGCUCCUCUGCUUUUUUUUCUUCUUUUCACAUCAGUGCUUCGCCAGUGCUUUUCUUUUGCUGUCCAAGAGGGAUUUCAUAUUUCAUGAAGGUACUGAUUGAUGAAAAUCAAAAUCAUCCUCGCGUUUGAGGAAUAGAGGGAAUGACGAAGUACACCGGCCUUAAAGGAAGUCUGACUGCCGACUUCCGGGCGCGGUAGGCUUCUUACUUACAGUUUCUUUUACAUUCGUAUACAUUUGGUCAAAAUUAUCUACUUACAGAAAUACUUUUUUGGGAUUUAUGUUAUAUGUUAAUAUAUAUACAUACAUAUAUAUAUAUAUAUAUAUUUGAUUGAUAAAGAAGUUCAUCUAGGUGUGUUGUAAAUCUUUAAUCUUUAUGUUGGUGUGGUGAUCUUGAAUGCAUAUUGCAAAACUGAAUCUAAGACUUUUAUGGAUGGUGAUCUGUUAGUAAACAGAAAUGUUGUUAGAAUUGUUUCUCAAAGCCAAUAUGAUAUUGUGUACAAUGUUGGGUUUACUGGGAUUGUAAUGUUUUAG